UGAGCAUAGAAUAAGAAAUGAAUAGAAGGGCAACUCACGUGUGCAACGCGUCCGUAAAUUUUUAUGCGCAUGCGUGAGGUCCGCCAUUACUCUGGCCAGUAACUGGCUGCUGGCGUACUAUAGAAUAUAUAGCGAAAGAAGAUAUUUUGGCUGGAAAAUCGCGUUUUUUGACCAUGUUUAUCAACGAAUGUGGGAAUUUUGUACAGAAAUCGAAAUAUAUAAGGUAAGACAUAACGACUGGGCCGUCUACAGGAAUUUAGAUACUUUUCUCGAGCAAAAAUCACAUUUUAUACAACAAUGUUUACAUGCAGCGAUACAAUUAUAUUUUGUGUGAAGUUUAUAUGAAUAUGAACACUCAUCUGAGUCAAUUGGCUAUCCUCUUCCUAAUAUUUCUUAGCAUUUCUUAUCAUUAUUGUCAUAAAAUAACUGAUAACCAUUUGUAUUUCGGAAAGACAUUGAGGUUUUAUUUAUUAAUUUGUGUUUUGACUCGAACACGGCCGCUAUGCCACUUUACUUUUGAACAUAAAUAGUCGAUGUCGUGGAUAAGAAAUUAUUUGUAAAAAGCAAAAACAAUCAUGUUACUAUGAUAAAAGACAUUUGCUGAGCGAAAUAGUGCUUUAAUAGUAAAACUGCAUGUCGAUCCAGAUCCUAAUGAAGAAUGAUUUCUGUUUCGUUCUUAUAUGCAGUGAUUACUUUAGGUUCAAAUUAUAAAUUAGGUUUCAUGGAGUUACCAGGAAUUUUGAGAUGCAUUUUUUGUAAAGUGUCAAUAUUUGCAAGGUUUAUAUUUGAUUGCUGCCCUACUACAUGGGUUUUUAAAUUUUAUUUAAAUUUGUUUACUUGUCACCUACAGCUGCUGACCUUGCUAUCACUUUGUUUUCUUUUUAGUUUCAUUGCAGCUGAUCAUCCUGUUUGCUUCUUUCAUCUCAAUACCCAUUGUCAAUACCAUAUUGCUCAUUGAUUUAUGUAUGAAUAGCAUUAAUAUAAUAAACAUAGCAAUUGUAUAACAGCUAUAAUAACUAAAUGUAUCAUAAUAUAAUAUUUGUGGUGUUACUCUGAGUGUACUGUAUAUCCACACCGGGCGAGCUUGAAAAAUAUGCCCGGCCACGGUGGGAUUCGAACCUACGACCUUCGGAAUACUAGCCCAAUGCUCUUCAUUCGAGUAAGUGAUAUUUCGGAACAGAAUCUAGUUCCUUCGAUACCAAUGUAUUCUACCACAAUAUUCACCACAUAUUCACCACAUCACACCACAUAUUCUACCACAUAUUCACCUGAGUACACUACACCAACACAGAAUGGUAUCAUAUUUUUAAAACUUAGUAAAUGAAUGGACUAUUUUUGUAUAGUAUUAAAUGAAAUAACAUUUGAAUAUGAGAAGAUACAAUUGAUUUGUGACUUGUGUUCAUGAUUUUAAUAUUUACAGUGUGCAUUUUGUGUCCUAAAUAAAAAUGAUACAUACAGUGGUGUACACAAUUUGGUCUGAAAACUGCACUUAAAUGUCAUAAUAUAUAUCAUGGUGAUGCCCCCACUUGCAAUACAGUGUGUAUAUAUUUACUUUAAAACCUCAGGUUCACCAACUUAAUUAACUGAGGGUUCAACCUGGAAUCCAGGAUUCCUAUAACCACCUGAAACACCUGCAUUUAAAGGGCUUGUUCCUGUCACAUGCGUUUCUUCUGCGAUAGUUCGAAGUAUUUCCAGUGCUUUUCUGCUCAUUACAAGUGUUUUUAAAAUAUGAGUAGUAGUAAAACAAAGCAGAAAGGGGGUAGCAGUCAUACUGCUUGGCAGUUAAUUGCUCAAAUACCAAAGGAUCGCAUCCUGAACUAAGUUUUUUUCGCUUCCCGGCUAUAUAUAGCAAAAGGUAGGUCCACGGUUUCCGUAAAGACAGAUGAAAAAAUUUGAAUGUUUUCUGCUGCUUUGUAUAUCGAUAAAAUAAAUAAAUGCAUUAUACACACUGUAUGAAUGAAUUUAUUUUGUUCAAAAAAGUAUUGAAAUUACAAGAUGCAAUAAUUACUACAUACUGUAAAGUGUACUUCGGAAUUUUAUAUUUAUACAAUGUCAAUAAAAAUCACUUAAUUAGUCUCCACUUAUGAAAAUAAUUGGGCAGAACAUAAUUAGGAAGAAAGUAAUUAGGAAGAACAAAUAGAUGCCCUACUCCUACCUCCUGUGCAGGCCUUCCAAGAAAAGUGGUGGGAAACAAAAAAGCCUUCGUCUCAAAUUUCAACCUGUGAACGGGCAUACUCAUUACGAGCUGUAUGGCCUGCGGAGGAGGUAGAUAGACUUCUUUUAACAUGGUAUGUUUAAGUUUGUUGCAAGUAAUGACAGCCUUUUGUUUGUGUUCAUUUGGUAAACAAGCGUUACCAUUGUUUUCUGCCCAAUACGUAAAUUAUCGUAUUCAUUCAGUGCUCAUAGUGUCUAUUGUUGGCCAUCAUUUUUGUCCAAUAACUUGUUAGGUUGCUGUACAUAUACAGGUUUGUAAUAUCAUGACAUACAAUGUUCCUCACAUCCAUAUGGUAGAUUGGAAACAAAUACAGUAAUUUAAUAAUACAUGGCAGAUUCCAUCCCGACCCAUUGCAUUAGAUGUAAUAUAUCCAUACAAUCUUGUAAAUCAGAAUUCUUGUUUUAAUAAAAAUACAUUUUGAUCAAUUUUCUGUUUACACAAAGUGCCCUGGUGUUGGAGCCAACAUUUUGACGAUGAUCAAAGCCAUUCCCAUCACCUUCCAAUGGCAAUGUGAGUGCGAAUAUACUCCAGCAUAAAAUUUGCCAACAGAGACUUAGCCACAUCUAAACCAAAGGAUAGAAAAUCACACAUCUUUAAAUAACACCAAGGCCACACAUCUUUAAAUAAUAUACUGGACAUGUGUUAACGCUGCUCUGGUUUACAAGACUAAAUAUAGCCUUAAUGGCUUAAUUAAAUGACUAAAGUUACUGUUCGCGAGCCAAACAUUUAGACACUCUUAUUAAUAGUUUAGGAUAUUGAGGCGCAAUAAGGAUGUCCAUUUAUGAUUUGUUAUUCAAUCACUGCUAAAGAUAGACAGAAAACAUCGAAACUUAAAACUAUAUUAAAACUACUGUCUGUGCUAUUGUACGGAUAGGCGAUAGCUACUGGGUUCGGUUCUCCAUGAACAAUAUCGAAGAAAAAAUGCGCCUACGAGCAUUUACUUUGACUUUUAAAUAAAUAAAUUGAAACUACAUACCUUCUCCUUGAAUGCUCUGGUCAUUAAAACCAAAAUUUUGAACAUAAACUCCCACGGUAUGCUUUUAAAACGAAAAUAUAACCCUCGCUCAAUACAAUUUAUAUUUAUUCUGGCAGCAAGUUACUGGCCAGAGUAAUGGCGGCCGUCGAAUUUCCGGUAUGCGCGACACGACAUGCGCGAGGACACCGACUUCAAAGGAUCCGAC